GAGUUUGAUCAUGGCUCAGGACGAACGCUGGCGGCGUGCCUAAUACAUGCAAGUAGAACGCUGAAGAGAGGAGCUUGCUCUUCUUGGAUGAGUUGCGAACGGGUGAGUAACGCGUAGGUAACCUGCCUUGUAGCGGGGGAUAACUAUUGGAAACGAUAGCUAAUACCGCAUAACAAUAGGUGACACAUGUCAUUUAUUUGAAAGGGGCAAUUGCUCCACUACAAGAUGGACCUGCGUUGUAUUAGCUAGUAGGUGAGGUAACGGCUCACCUAGGCGACGAUACAUAGCCGACCUGAGAGGGUGAUCGGCCAUACUGGGACUGAGACACGGCCCAGACUCCUACGGGAGGCAGCAGUAGGGAAUCUUCGGCAAUGGGGGCAACCCUGACCGAGCAACGCCGCGUGAGUGAAGAAGGUUUUCGGAUCGUAAAGCUCUGUUGUAAGUCAAGAACGAGUGUGAGAGUGGAAAGUUCACACUGUGACGGUAGCUUACCAGAAAGGGACGGCUAACUACGUGCCAGCAGCCGCGGUAAUACGUAGGUCCCGAGCGUUGUCCGGAUUUAUUGGGCGUAAAGCGAGCGCAGGCGGUUUGAUAAGUCUGAAGUUAAAGGCUGUGGCUCAACCAUAGUUCGCUUUGGAAACUGUCAAACUUGAGUGCAGAAGGGGAGAGUGGAAUUCCAUGUGUAGCGGUGAAAUGCGUAGAUAUAUGGAGGAACACCGGUGGCGAAAGCGGCUCUCUGGUCUGUAACUGACGCUGAGGCUCGAAAGCGUGGGGAGCGAACAGGAUUAGAUACCCUGGUAGUCCACGCCGUAAACGAUGAGGGCUAGGUGUUGGAUCCUUUCCGGGAUUCAGUGCCGCAGCUAACGCAUUAAGCACUCCGCCUGGGGAGUACGACCGCAAGGUUGAAACUCAAAGGAAUUGACGGGGGCCCGCACAAGCGGUGGAGCAUGUGGUUUAAUUCGAAGCAACGCGAAGAACCUUACCAGGUCUUGACAUCCCGAUGCUAUUUCUAGAGAUAGAAAGUUACUUCGGUACAUCGGUGACAGGUGGUGCAUGGUUGUCGUCAGCUCGUGUCGUGAGAUGUUGGGUUAAGUCCCGCAACGAGCGCAACCCCUAUUGUUAGUUGCCAUCAUUCAGUUGGGCACUCUAGCGAGACUGCCGGUAAUAAACCGGAGGAAGGUGGGGAUGACGUCAAAUCAUCAUGCCCCUUAUGACCUGGGCUACACACGUGCUACAAUGGUUGGUACAACGAGUUGCGAGUCGGUGACGGCAAGCUAAUCUCUUAAAGCCAAUCUCAGUUCGGAUUGUGGGCUGCAACUCGCCUACAUGAAGUCGGAAUCGCUAGUAAUCGCGGAUCAGCACGCCGCGGUGAAUACGUUCCCGGGCCUUGCACACACCGCCCGUC
rnacentral:rRNA from 1 species